rnacentral:rRNA from 1 species
GACGAACGCUGGCGGCGUGCCUAAUACAUGCGAGUCGAACGCUUCUUUCCUCCCGAGUGCUUGCACUCAAUUGGAAAGAGGAGUGGCGGACGGGUGAGUAACACGUGGGUAACCUACCCAUCAGAGGGGGAUAACACUUGGAAACAGGUGCUAAUACCGCAUAACAGUUUAUGCCGCAUGGCAUAAGAGUGAAAGGCGCUUUCGGGUGUCGCUGAUGGAUGGACCCGCGGUGCAUUAGCUAGUUGGUGAGGUAACGGCUCACCAAGGCCACGAUGCAUAGCCGACCUGAGAGGGUGAUCGGCCACACUGGGGCUGAGACACGGCCCAGACUCCUACGGGAGGCAGCAGUAGGGAAUCUUCGGCAAUGGACGAAAGUCUGACCGAGCAACGCCGCGUGAGUGAAGAAGGUUUUCGGAUCGUAAAACUCUGUUGUUAGAGAAGAACAAGGACGUUAGUAACUGAACGUCCCCUGACGGUAUCUAACCAGAAAGCCACGGCUAACUACGUG